CUCGAUUGUCAGCUGAAUAUUCAGGGAAGAUUUUUAUGGAAGCGUAUUAACCAGACACACACUUUUUGCUCUCCAUAAUCUUCUGAUCGUUUAUUCAAGAUUCGCUAUAUUUAUACUAUACUUGUCACGAAUAUUGGUUACAAAAGGUUACAAAAAGGUUACAAAAAGGUUACACAAGAUACAUAAAAGAGGAAGUAGUUUCUGCUGUUACAUUCAAUAAUCUAAUCUUACAAAAUAUCACAUAUACAUUGUGGUUAGGCAUUUCCUGAUACAUAGAAACUGUCAUAGCUUGUGACUUCCUUUCAAUUAUGUUUUGCAAGCAGUUCUGAAAUACUGACAGAUUAAUUGUUUAACCCCUUAAGGACCAGAUUUCUGGAAUAAAAGGGAAUCAUGACAUGUCAUGUGUCCUUAAGGGGUCAAUAUUCCUUCAUUUCCCCCUCUUUGAGCAAUAUCUUGCUCAUACCCUAUUUAAGGAGUCCUGGUCAGACAACCAGCCAUCUGCCAUGGUAUAUUCAGGAUUGCUAGCCAAUCCUGCAGGUCUUUCAUUAUGUCUUCGGCCACUAUUCCCAUGGCAUAGGACUAGGCAUCUGACCAGCACCACAAACUUAUAGAUCUGUAUCAGUAUGUUCACCAUUGCUUCGGUUAUGUGUAUACAUUUGGAGAUACUCAUCAUUUCAAGCUGGGGAUUUUACAGGAACAGUGUUGCUUGUAUGUUUGUAAAUGCAGAAUACAAUAAUCUUGAAAAUAGCAUAAACAAGUAGAGCAAGGAUCAGAACCAUAACAAUAAGUAUUGCAAUAUUCUUUAGCCAGUCUAGGAUACUGUCAAACUUAAACAUAUCUGCCCAUGGGUGAUCAAUACCUGAAUUCCUCUUCAUUUCUAUGGAUAGGUCUUCCAAUUUCUUUAUAGCUAGGGUUACUUUACCAUUAGAGCCAGUGUUCUCUGGAAUAUAGGUACAACAAACACCGGAGUCAAGUAAUUUACAGACUCCUCCCUUUUCUCCUAAAACCAUAUCAAGGGCCAUUCUAUUCUGGAAAGUCAUUUGUGAGGUAGCCUGUAAUUGUUCAGCAAGACCUUGUAAUGCAUCUCGUGUAUAAUUUACAAAUCUUUGCUGAUUAUAAUAUAUAUAAUUAAUCCAGUUAACAUUCUUGUUAGCUGUUAUAAUAGGAAAUAUUGAUUCAAAUCCUGCUGCCACCUCGUCUCUAGCUUUAAAUUCAUUAGGGACCCCUCUUGGAAUACCAAUGGCAUCUAGAUAGAUAUGUGGGUCGAAACUACCUUGUGGGGAUUCCCUUUUCCUUCUUGUGGAAUCAGUUACAACCUUAAUUUCAGGGAGAGAGUCGCCAAAUAUAUGGAGGGGCAUGAUUAUUUUGGCUGGGGCACAUUCUCCUCUCCAGGGGGUGGGGAGUCUAGAACGUAUUUUUUAUAUAGAUUGUGUUUGAUUCACUAAGGUAAUAUUACUGUAGGCGGAGCAGAAUCCUGAAGAAAAGUUAUCAAAUUGUGUACCCACCUUACCAUUAUUAUUUCCCUGAAAACAAGUAUAAUUACCAGGAUAUACUGGGACAACAUCAUUUAAAUUAAACUUGGGUUCACCAAUAGGGUGACCCUUUUUCCAUUCUUCACAUUCUGUAGUAUUAACAGUGAUACCUGAAAACAAACUUAGGAAACAUUCCCAGUACUCAUCAGGGACAUGUAAGGGUACAGUUCCUAGAUGAGGUCUGGCACUACCACAUACAUAACAGUUUGACCUAUUGUUGGAAUGGGCAUUAUAUCUCAACCAUUCCAGCCAUAGGUUUGUAUCUGCAUACCCUGUUUCUAAAGCUAUGGUAUCUCCAAACGUGGGAUCUGCUAUGGCCAUCAUAUCACCAAGGGUUUGAAUGUGGGGCUUUAGAGGAUUAACAAGAGUUUGUCUAGAGGUGAGGCUUUCCCAUUUUGAGGAGUUCCAUAUAUCUUUUAACUGGAUUUUUCCUCGAUUACCUCCAAUACCUCCUCUUAAAAAGGUACUGAGAAUAUAAAUACCUUGAUCUCCAGGACUGGGGUUUUCAAUAUUUAAGGUAAAUUUCAUGGAGUGCCCAGUUUGCCCUAUAGAGGUACAUGUACCUGGCUUUGUUAAGGUCAUUCUAGUCAAGAGGGACUUCCCAUUCGUAUCCUUUUUAUCUAAUGCAUUCUGUGGCUUAUAACCCCAAUGUGUCCCGGUGUUCCAUCCAACUGAGCCCCAAUAAUCACAAUUGUUACCCCUCUUUGAGCAAUAUAUAUUGCUCAUAUCAUCGGUUAACAUUCUCCCAAGACAGAGAAAUGUCCAGAUUAUGGCAUUCCCAAGCAAUCAUGUGGUCUACAAGAAACAGAAACUCAGCAGAAAAAAAAACAAAACAAAAACCACUUAAUACUUUUGCAGACAGAUAUAUAGAAAAUGGAUGUUUAAGACAGAAUGGAACUUGGGCUUAUAGCAACUAUAUUUUUGCACAACCAGGACCUUGCGUCCUAUAUCUUUUAACCAUUUCCCUAUUCCAAAAGUCCAGUCAAAGCCAGUCAUAUCCUCACGCAGUUCCUCAAAACAUGGGAAUCCAUCCCUGGCACACUCAACAUAUCAAAAACACACAUAGUACAUCCAUCCCUGGGUCAGCUAACACUUCCUCUCUCUCCGGCUAACUCUACAAAAAUAAAAAUAAAAAUAGUUCAAUAGUUCAGCAUAGUUCAGAAAAAUAGAAUAAGUCUUUCACAGAGUAUAAAGAAAUCAGUUUAGACACCAGACAUUUUGUUCCAUAAAAAUGGCUAAGGGUAGCAAUAUGGCUGACAACAAGACAAUGUCAGCUUCCAAAUAGUUCUUAGUUCUUCUUUUGUUUGCUGGAUUUUCACCACAAAGCUCUGUGCAACACCCCAAAGGUUGAAAGGGUUAUUACAGAACCAGCGGCAUUAGACAGCACUGCACCUUCAGGACUUUCCAGGUUCUUGCGUGCAAAGUUUAUGUCCUCAUAAAUAAGUAUCUCAGUUUCUUCGGCCUGCAUGGAUAAUGACCAAACAGAUGUAAUUGCAAAAUACUUAUUGCAUGGUCAACCGGAGAGAUUGAUGUGUAGUCCCAGAAAUCAGGCGGCACAAACACUCCAGGACGGUCUCUACAAUCAUACAAACACAAGGAUCAAUACAACAUUAAUUAAUUACCUAGGCUAAAACUUAAAUUAGAGAUUAAGGUUAAACCCUUAAUUUGUGUAACAUGUACUUCUCUUAUAAUUUAUGCAAUCUGUCUUCUAUGAAGUUUUACAUUAUACCCCUUUGGAAUGCCUUUGUACGGAUGAGAGUAGCACUCACUCUAUAGAAAUCCUUGUUAGGAUGAAUAUUAAAACACUAACAUAUACAUAUGGGGAUAAUUCCCAAUAAAACUCUGUUCCUAAACUGGAACCUUGAUUUGAUAUUCAAAAUUAAUUACUUUAAUAAUCCCGAAUAAUUCAAUACUCUUGGAUUAAUACCUAAAACCAUAUAAAAUAUUACAAACAUGAACCAUCUGUGUAUUAUGCUGUGGUUGUUGGGUGUGGGUAUAGGUUGGAAGCUAUGGUUGGUAUUGAGGAAUCUGUGGGGGUGGGUUUGGGCACUCAUUUUUCCAGUGACCCUGCUAUCCACAAUUAGAACAGUGUGUUCCACCAAUGCUGAAGUUGUUACAAAAGUUAGACCCUUUGACCAAAUCCUCUACCUCUGCCUUUAUUCCAUAUGCAGGAUGGGAUUACCUAACUAACACCCCCUCUUUGUGUACCACACAGAUAUAAUAUUAAUAAGCUUUUAAAGGUUUAAUGGAUAGUUAAAUUUUGUAUAUAAAGCAAGGUUGUCUAGGGGUAUAUACAUCGACAAUGAAAGCAUAGCCUUCAUAUAGGGUUUGCAUAGCCUUCAUAUAGGGUCUGUGUCAUGAGCAUAAUGCAGACAUGCGGUUAGGUACUUUUCCAUUGUUAUAAUAUAUUGAAAACACUAAGACCUUGCAAAUUUUUAAAACGCAAAUUGCUUCCUGUACCUGGUGCCGUGCAAGGAUGUAGUUGGGACAUAUUUUAAAUUGAGUAUCAAAAGUCUAACCACAAAACUAAAUGUUAUACGCUUAUCAAGAAAACAAGUUUAACCCGUUAGUGCAUACUUUGGAUAGCCUCUUUGCAUAAUUUGGCUCCUAGUGAGAUUAUUAUAUUAUUUAUUAAUGCUCCUCUGGAUCUGCAAAAUGCUUUCAAUUUACCCAUACAAAUAUAAUACAGUAGUUUAGGAGAUUAAAAUUACCUCACUUAUAAAUUUCAGAAAUUGUCUAAUCUCCAAUAAAAAUACCAUGUUAUUAUUACCCCAUAAUCAAUGAGACAUACUAGAUGAAUCUUACUUUGACACAAACAAUGCAAUAUACUUUAAAAGUAGAGUUAACUCUGAGCUGGACAAUACUCCCCUAUUAGAACUCCUUUAUGAGGGAGAGACAUCUUGUCCAUUCAAUCCUUUUUAUCAGUAAAAGAAUGACUUUCAGGAUUAAUCAAUUUGCAAAUGGAAAUGUGGAUCCACGAUUUGAACAGCAGAAGUUUGCGGGGCCCCUUUCACGUGGGAUGUAACAAGCGCUUUUCUUGCUCCAGGAGCGAUAGCAUACAAUUGUUUCAUUCUAGCCGGCUGGACAGCAUUUCACCUUUUGUAAAAACACUAAAUGCUUGUGUUAAUGAUAUGCAAAUCACUCUGCUAGUUAAACUCCUACACAAUGGACAAUAAAAUACAUGAAACACAUAACACACCAAUUCAUUUCAAACCAUAUAACUCAUACUCAGCAUUCAAUGUAAUAUUACAUGUCAUCUCACAAAACAGACAUCUCACAAAACAGACGUAGUAGAUACACGUAUCGGGUACCCAGCAGAUAUGCCAAUAUUGAAAACACAUUCAUGAGCACACAACUACACACUCUGUGUCCCUCCUAGGAAACACGGGUAGACACAAUAUGAAAGCAGUCUUAAACUAACACCUCCAAAUCUCCAUUCCCAUAUAGCUAUAUCAGAACACAAUCAGAAAACAACACAGCAACAUAUAAAUUAAACCACUUUCCAGGUAAGCUGCACACUUCACACAUUAUCACAAUCACCAUUUACACAGAAUAAACAGUUAACAGCUGUACUCAGAACAUAUUAUUGUAAGGUAUACCAAUUUUAGUUUAUAUUAGAUUUAUUUUAGGGAUUCUUAUGUAUACUUUUUUUUUUUUUUAAUUCUUAUUAACUUCAUUACUUUAAUCUACUAUAGUAUUGUAUAUAGAGAAAGGAUCCAUUUAUAUAGCGCACUCAUAACUCAAAUAUUUGUAUGAAACUUCCAUUAACUAAUCUGAAGUGAUGCUGCAUCAACUUACAUCUUAUAGAAAUUGAGCAAACAUUUGGACCAGAUUACACAGACAUGGUUUCACCAGAAUCUUACAGAACUCUCAGAGACUUAAAAAAAAUUAUUCUAUACCAUGUUUAAAAGGCAUGGCAAACCUUAGACCGGUCAGUCUCCAAGAGCCUUAGUAAAACAGGUAGAAACCUUUGUCCAUAAUCUCUGAUCCAGGCUAUAUACCACAAUUUAAAAGAACAGAACACAUAUAAUGUGAGACAUAGAAGACACAAAACAUAUGCAGUAGCUGAAUCAUUUAAAGCAUCUGUAGCAAUAAAAAGGUUAGCUUACAGCACAAAAUGAAGCAUGUGUUGGACCGCUGAAAAUGUAAAUGUUGCUCUCUUAUUUACAAACAAAAAUCAUAUUAAUGGUAUGGAUCCUUUGCAACAAACACACAGGGCAGGGAAGAUGUGCUGAUUGGUGUUUCUAUACAAUUAAUCCCAUAUGGGGAAUUAACGUUCAAAUACUAAUGAAGUGACUUUUUGUCUCAGUUCUAAAAAUACUGAGCUCAUCAUGCAAACAAUGCAACACAUUUACACUAUCCCACUCUCAUAGAAAGUGUAGUGGGCUUAUGGUAUUAAAGCAACAAUCAUAUCAGGCACACAGAUCCCAUGUGAAAUAACUUGCAAUAAAACAGAGUAAUAAACUUAUACUUCUAUGCAACAGAAAGAAUAAAACAAAAGAUUUAAGUAGGUCUAUCAGGUACAACCUGCGAGUCAGUUCUUUUCUAAUAUACAGUACUGGUAUCUUAUGUAUAUAUAUAUUGGUCACUCAGGACCUGAACUCACAUUUCCCAUACUGCUGACUCAGGGUGGACACACUACUAACUUACCAAAGUGUGUCCCCAGUAUAGACAAUCACCCCAUUGAUGGAGAAUCAUUUUUUUGCAAUAAAGACAUGGACACUACAAAUGUGCUUUAACAAGAUUCUCAGUGAGUAUAUUUUCAGGGUUAGCAUAUAAAGCAAAAAGAGUUUAACUAUUUCAUAUCCUUACAGUCAGCACUAAUGAUUAUAAACCUUAUUUAAGCAUAAAAUACAUAUGAACAAGAAAAGUUAACUACUUCAUAUUCUUACAUGGUAAUUUCCCAUUCCUAGGACAAAUCUUUCAAACACUUAUUCACACUCACAACCAGACUUAACUAAUGACAAUUAGAGGGUGGACAAGGUGAACCUGAAACUCUGUGCACACUAUCGUAGUAUAUUCACUUAUAUACUAAAUUCUCUGUCUAUAUCACUUUAUAGACUUUAUCUGUCCAAUUCUCUUAUUAGACCUUCUCUAGUUCACUUACUAGAAAUACAUAUAUCUCUCUGUCUAGUUCCCUUACUAGACUAAUGUAACGGGACCUUAUGUAAAACUGAGUCACAGAAAACACAUAUACUAAAUAACCUUUCCUAAAAUGAUGUAGACUUACAAAACCAUGGGGAUCAUAGAUUCAGGGCGUCAAGAUAGACACAAGGAAUUACUACUCACCCAAAAUGGUUUUGGCUACAAUCCCACUUCUGACACCAAGCUGAAAGGUAAAUCUGCUACUCUGGUGACUCGGUCCCUCUGGUCACUAUUCUCCAACCCUCGAUUGUCAGCUGAAUAUUCAGGGAAGAUUUUUAUGGAAGCGUAUUAACCAGACACACACUUUUUGCUCUCCAUAAUCUUCUGAUCGUUUAUUCAAGAUUCGCUAUAUUUAUACUAUACUUGUCACGAAUAUUGGUUACAAAAGGUUACAAAAAGGUUACAAAAAGGUUACACAAGAUACAUAAAAGAGGAAGUAGUUUCUGCUGUUACAUUCAAUAAUCUAAUCUUACAAAAUAUCACAUAUACAUUGUGGUUAGGCAUUUCCUGAUACAUAGAAACUGUCAUAGCUUGUGACUUCCUUUCAGUUAUGUUUUGCAAGCAGUUCUGAAAUACUGACAGAUUAAUUGUUUAACCCCUUAAGGACCAGAUUUCUGGAAUAAAAGGGAAUCAUGACAUGUCAUGUGUCCUUAAGGGGUCAAUAUUCCUUCAUUU
rnacentral:lncRNA from 1 species